CAGCUCAAAAUUUGAAAUCUGGCCCCCCGCGGGCCCGAGUUGUACUUUGGAGAGGACGCUUCUGGCGCGGCGCCGUCCGAGUUCCCUGGAACGGGACGCCGGAGAGGGUGAGAGCCCCGUACGGGCGGCCGCCUAGCCUCUGCGAAGCUCCUUCGACGAGUCGAGUAGUUUGGGAAUGCUGCUCAAAAUGGGAGGUAAAUUUCUUCUAAAGCUAAAUACCGGCCAGAGACCGAUAGCGCACAAGUAGAGUGAUCGAAAGAUGAAAAGCACUUUGAAAAGAGGGUCAAACAGUACGUGAAAUUGUUGAAAGGGAAGCGCCUGUGGCCAGACUUGCGCCCCGCGGACCACCCGGCGCCUCGCGCGCCGGGGCACGCCAGCGGGGCGCAGGCCAGCAUCGGCUCUCUCGGGGGGACAAAGGCCGCGGGAACGUAGCGCCCUCGCGGCGUAUUAUAGCCCGCGGCGCCAUGCCCCCGGGGGGGCCGAGGACCGCGCUCCGGCAAGGAUGCUGGCGUAAUGGCCACCGGCGACCCGUCUUGAAACACGGACCAAGGAGUCAAGCAUUGGGGCGAGUGUCUGGGUGGCAAGCCCGCACGCGGAAUGAAAGUGAACGCAGGUGGGAGCUUCGGCGCACCACCGACCGAUCCUGAUGUCCUCGGAUGGAUUUGAGUAGGAGCCCCGCCGCUUGGACCCGAAAGAUGGUGAACUAUGCCUGUAUAGGGUGAAGCCAGAGGAAACUCUGGUGGAGGCCCGCAGCGGUUCUGACGUGCAA
rnacentral:rRNA from 1 species